GCCUCGGUGGUGUAGUGAUCAAGACGCUCGCCUUGGCAAAUAGAAGGGCUUGGGUUCGAUCCCACCCGAGGCA
rnacentral:tRNA from 1 species